AUUGAACGCUGGCGGCAGGCUUAACACAUGCAAGUCGAGCGGGGUGAUGGUGCUUGCACUAUCACUUAGCGGCGGACGGGUGAGUAAUGCUUAGGAAUCUGCCUAUUAGUGGGGGACAACAUCUCGAAAGGGAUGCUAAUACCGCAUACGUCCUACGGGAGAAAGCAGGGGAUCACUUGUGACCUUGCGCUAAUAGAUGAGCCUAAGUCGGAUUAGCUAGUUGGUGGGGUAAAGGCCUACCAAGGCGACGAUCUGUAGCGGGUCUGAGAGGAUGAUCCGCCGCACUGGGACUGGGAACCGGCCCAGACGACUACGGGAGGCAGCAGUGGGGAAUAUUGGACAAUGGGGGGAACCCUGAUCCAGCCAUGCCGCGUGUGUGAAGAAGGCCUUAUGGUUGUAAAGCACUUUAAGCGAGGAGGAGGCUCUUUUGGUUAAUACCCAAGAUGAGUGGACGUUACUCGCAGAAUAAGCACCGGCUAACUCUGUGCCAGCCGCCGCAGUAA
rnacentral:rRNA from 1 species